UAUUGCUGCAUUUAAUCUCUGAUCUUAAACCAGGGAUUAGAACUAAAAUUCAUUUGUCAAUAGAUAGAUAAGUUGUAUCCAAAAAUUCGACAUGGCUACAACAUUCCAGGAACUUGAUUAACUCUACUUGUGUCAAAUAAUACAAUAUUAAAGUUUUGUAACUUACAAAAGUCUCCUCUGCACGCGACUCUAUCCAUUCUCCCCUUGUACCAUCCUUAUUUUUUUUCUUAUGG
rnacentral:misc_RNA from 1 species